CGUAGCAAUACGAGCGGCAGACGGGUGAGUAACGCGUGGGAAUCUACCCAUCUCUACGGAACAACUCCGGGAAACUGGAGCUAACACCGUAUACGUCCUUUUGGAGAAAGAUUUAUCGGAGAUGGAUGAGCCCGCGUUGGAUUAGCUAGUUGGUGGGGUAAUGGCCUACCAAGGCGACGAUCCAUAGCUGGUCUGAGAGGAUGAUCAGCCACACUGGGACUGAGACACGGCCCAAACUCCUACGGGAGGCAGCAGCC
rnacentral:rRNA from 1 species